CUUGGUCAUUUAGAGGAAGUAAAAGUCGUAACAAGGUCUCCGUUGGUGAACCAGCGGAGGGAUCAUUACAGAGUUGCAAAACUCCCAACCCUUUGUGAACGAACCUACCAGUUGCCUCGGCGGCGAGCCUUUCAGGCGGACCGCCGAAGGAAUACAAACUCUUUGCAUUAUAGUAUCUCUGAUUACUUAUUCAAUAAGUUAAAACUUUCAACAACGGAUCUCUUGGUUCUGGCAUCGAUGAAGAACGCAGCGAAAUGCGAUAAGUAAUGUGAAUUGCAGAACUCAGUGAAUCAUCGAAUCUUUGAACGCACAUUGCGCCCGCUAGUAUUCUGGCGGGCAUGCCUGUUCGAGCGUCAUUUCAACCAUCAAGCCCUAGGCUUGUGUUGGAGCCCUGCGGCUGCCGCAGCCUCCUAAAAACAGUGGCGGGCUCGCUAUCACACCGAGUGCAGUAGUUUACUCUUCGCUCAGGGCGUGUGGCGGGUGCUGGCCGUGAAACCCCCUACUUUUUAAGGUUGACCUCGGAUCAGGUAGGAAUACCCGCUGAACUUAAGCAUAUCAAUAAGCGGAGGA
rnacentral:rRNA from 1 species